CACCCCAUGCCGAUCAAUCUGUAGUCCUUCGGCCUUCUAAGCCGACGGUCGGGGGUUCGAAUCCCUCUGGGCAGGCCA
rnacentral:tRNA from 2 species